AGAAGGAGGCACACUGCCAGCUCCUAAGGAAGGACAGCCAACGCUCCAGGGGCCAGCCAAGCCAGGACACACCCAGCCCCCCAGACGGAGGUCUUGACAGGAAGGGACAGACUGGAGGACACGACGCUGAGGGGAUUUCAAGAGUGGCUAAAGAACCAAUGUCCCUGUGUUCGCGUUGGCUGGCCCAGCUGUCUUGCUGCUGGCAUGGCACCCCGCCUGCCAGAGAUGUUCCCGCACUUUUAAAGAUUCAUAGAUAUUUCAGGACAGAAGGGACCAUGAUGACCAUCCCGCCUGAUCUGCACAACACAGGCCACUGACAUAAACCCAGCAAUUCGUGCAUCAAGCCCACAACUUCUGGUUGAGCUCUUUUGGAAAGAGAUAACCAGUCUUGAUUUACAGACUUCAAGCAAUGGAGAA